rnacentral:rRNA from 1 species
GACGAACGCUGGCGGCGUGCCUAAUACAUGCAAGUCGAACGCAGUGGGGACGGGUGAGUAACACGUGGGUAACCUCCCAUCAGAGGGGAUAACACUUGGAAACAGGUGCUAAACCGAUAUUGAUGUAUGGACCCGCGGUGCAUUAGCUAGUUGGUGAGGUAACGGCUCACCAAGGCCACGAGGCAUAGCCGACCGGGGAGGGUGAGCGGCCACACUGGGACGGAGACACGGCCAAGACUCCUACGGGAGGCAGCAGUAGGGAAUCUUCGGCAAUGGACGAAAGUCUGACCGAGCAACGCCGCGUGAGUGAAGAAGGGUUUCGGAUCGUAAAACUCUGUUGUUAGAGAAGCGGUAUCUAACCAGAAAGCCACGGCUAACUACGUGCCAGCCGCCGAGGUAAUUC